UACCCAAGGCGAUGAUACAUAGCCCGAGUUGAGAGACUGAUCGGCCACAUUGGGGACUGAGACACGGGCCCAAACUCCUACGGGAGGCAGCAGUAGGGAAUCUUCCACAAUGGACGCAAGUCUGAUGGAGCAAACGCCGCGUGAGUGAAGAAGGGUUUCGGCUCGUAAAAAGCUCUGUUGUUGGUGAAGAAGGACAGGGGUAGUAACUGACCCUUUGUUUUGACGGUAAUCAAUUAGAAAGUCACGGGCUAACUACGUGCCCAGCAGCCGCGGUAAAU
rnacentral:rRNA from 1 species